rfam:Triticum aestivum genome assembly, contig: Triticum_aestivum_CS42_TGACv1_scaffold_393927_5AS
GACUUACUCCCUCCAUUCGAAAAAAACUUGUCCCGAGCUUGUCACUCAAAUGGAUGUAUCUAGCACUAACUUGGUGCUAGAUACAUUCAUUUGAGGGAGAAGCUUUUUCGGACGGAGGGAGUACGCA